CAGCAGCCGCGGUAAACGUAGGAUCCGAGCGUUAUCCGAAUUUACUGGGCGUAAAGCGCGUGCAGGCGGUUUGGUAAGUUGGAUGUGAAAGCUCCCGGCUCAACUGGGAGAGGUCGUUCAAUACUGCCAAACUAGAGGAUGGUAGAGGAAGGUGGAAUUCCCGGU
rnacentral:rRNA from 1 species